CAGGCCCUUCAUAAGAAGUAAGGGCAGGUGCAUAAGCAAGUGUUUCAUUCCAUUCCAGAUCCAGACUCUGAUUCUGCAACCCAUAAACUACAGCCUGGUGACUGGGUAGUGAUAAAGAGGCACGUGAGAAAAAGACUUGAUCCAAUAUUUGACGGCCCCUUUCAAGUGCUGCUGACUACUGUUACAUCUGUAAAGUUGGAAGGAAAGUCUACCUGGAUACACGCCAGCCUCUGUAAACUGGUUACCCCAAACCAAGAUCCACUAUGAAAUACCUGCUAUGAUCACUCAUAUACUUUCUUGUUGUGUGUUCAAUAAGCAAGUGCUCUCAGAACUUGCUGUUCCAG